UGAGUGAGGUCUGAUUUCAUUACUUUAGUGAAGGGAAACUCUGUACGAUGACCGAAAUGGUACAUGUGUGAAUAUAGUCAAACUAAUUACCUCGCUUCAGAUUUUUUUUUGAGCAGGGAUAUUU
rnacentral:ribozyme from 1 species